GAUGAACGCUGGCGGCGUGCUUAACACAUGCAAGUCGAACGAUGAAGCCCAGCUUGCUGGGUGUAUUAGUGGCGAACGGGUGAGUAACACGUGAGUAACCUGCCCUUAACUCUGGGAUAAGCCUGGGAAACUGGGUCUAAUACCGGAUAGGAGCGUCCACCGCAUGGUGGGUGUUGGAAAGAUUUAUCGGUUUUGGAUGGACUCGCGGCCUAUCAGCUUGUUGGUGAGGUAAUGGCUCACCAAGGCGACGACGGGUAGCCGGCCUGAGAGGGUGACCGGCCACACUGGGACUGAGACACGGCCCAGACUCCUACGGGAGGCAGCAGUGGGGAAUAUUGCACAAUGGGCGCAAGCCUGAUGCAGCGACGCCGCGUGAGGGAUGACGGCCUUCGGGUUGUAAACCUCUUUCAGUAGGGAAGAAGCGAAAGUGACGGUACCUGCAGAAGAAGCACCGGCUAACUACGUG
rnacentral:rRNA from 1 species